UAUGUUACUAAUAGUAAAAAGGCAGCAAAGAGUUAAAGUAAGUUAUUGUGGUGGCAUCAAAGGUUUAGUUGGAUGAAGUAAAAAUGGAUGUAAUAUCAAAAAGAUGGAAGUUGCCUUGUUGGUGAGCAAACCACCACCUAUAAGUAAAGAGUGUUGGAAGUAAGAAUCAUCUUUCUCUUUACUUCUUUUAGACUACAAUCCUUACUGAUACUAAGUGUUUGUAGUUUUUAGACUUCUUUUCUUCAAUAAGAUUCACUUUGUUGUUCCACAAUCACAUAUUAUGUACCACAUUCAAUAAUACCAAUCUUAAAUUGUAUAUCAUAUGGUGUUGUAUUACAAUUGGAUAUUUUGGAGUAUUGCAUCUUAAUUUAUUCUCU
rnacentral:lncRNA from 1 species